rnacentral:siRNA from 1 species
AGUGUACAAAUGUAAAGUGUACGC